GUAAAUACACCUUCGAAGAAUGCUUUCGAUUCCUUGGAUACAAACUGCCAAAACAGGUUGUUAUUGGUAAACCAUGGCAUGAAAAUGAAGCUGUUCUGGAUGAAACCUGCCGAUACCUUGUACAGAAACAUGAGGGAAAUCUCCAAAGAUUCCUGUACCAGGGUCUUUGCCACACAGAAAGUAGCAUUCUUUCCAUAAGAAAGGCUUCUGUCAUGUUCCUAGGCUUCCUGGUACUACACAUGGACUACAAGGCAGGAGAGAUAGAGCUGAAUGUGAUAAUUAAUUGUAAGUAAAGAGAAAGAGAA